rnacentral:rRNA from 1 species
GUAAGCUGCGAUAAGCUACGGAGAGGUGCAAGCAACCUUUGACCCGUAGAUUUCCGAAUGGGGGAACCCGGCAGUGGUUAUGCACUGUCACCCAUAGCUUAGACUAUGAGGAGGGCACCCGGGGAACUGAAACAUCUAAUUACCCGGAGGAAAAGUAAUCAAACGAGAUUUUCUUAGUAGCGGCGAGCGAACGGGAAAGAGGCCAAACCGGAGCGGGCAACCGCACCGGGGUUGAGGACAGUCAUCAAGUGAAAGCCCUGUAAUCGAAACCUUGCAUACAUGGGACUGUAUCCAGAGUACCACGAGACACGUGAAACCUUGUGGGAAGCAGGGGGGACCACCCUCCAAGCCAAAAUACUGAUAUCGACCGAUAGCGCAUAGUACCGUGAGGGAAAGGUGAAAAGAACCCCUGGCGGGGAGUGAAAGAGAACCUGAAACCGUAUGUCUACAAACAGUCGAAGUCUGUAUAUAUAUCAGGACGACGGCGUGCCUAUUGAAGAAUGAACCGACGAGUUACUGUUGCUAGCGAGGUUAAGUGGAAAACAUGGAGCCGCAGCGAAAGCGAGUCUGAACAGGG